rnacentral:rRNA from 1 species
GAUGAACGCUGGCGGCGUGCCUAAUACAUGCAAGUCGAGCGGUAAGGCCCUUCGGGGUACACGAGUGGCGAACGGGUGAGUAACACGUGGGUGACCUGCCCUGCACUUCGGGAUAAGCCUGGGAAACUGGGUCUAAUACCGGAUAGGACUCCGGACUGCAUGGUCUGGGGUGGAAAGCUUUUGCGGUGUGGGAUGGGCCCGCGGCCUAUCAGCUUGUUGGUGGGGUGAUGGCCUACCAAGGCGACGACGGGUAGCCGGGCUGAGAGGGUGACCGGCCACACUGGGACUGGGAUACGGCCCAGACUCCUACGGGAGGCAGCAGUGGGGAAUAUUGCACAAUGGGCGCAAGCCUGAUGCAGCGACGCCGCGUGAGGGAUGACGGCCUUCGGGUUGUAAACCUCUUUCAGCACAGACGAAGCGCAAGUGACGGUAUGUGCAGAAGAAGGACCGGCCAACUACGUGCCAGCCGCCGCCGUAA